rnacentral:misc_RNA from 1 species
AAGUCGUAACAAGGUUUCCGUAGGUGAACCUGCGGAAGGAUCAUUAAUGAAUUUAGGAGGUUUGCUGUGCCGUCUUAACGGAAUUGUGCACGCUUACCUCUAUAAUCCUUAUUCAACACCUGUGCACCUUUUUAUUAGAGAGAAUGGUAGUAAAAUACUAUGAUCUCUAGUUAAUAACACACUCUUUAUGUCAAUGAAUGUUAAUUGGCCGAAAGGCUACAAAUAAAAACAACUUUUAACAACGGAUCUCUUGGCUCUC